AGUGUGUCUGGAGGGGUGCACAGGGAGUGGCACGGCAAAGGGAAUUGCCCCUCAGGAACAGAGGGUUAUGUCAGAGGGGAGGCGCGAACCAGGUCGCAUAGCACUUUCUAGGACGUAAUAAAGAGUAUGGAUUCUAUGUUGCCAUGGGAAGCCAGCAUCCUUGCAUGAGGUGGUUAAGUGCUGAGAGAAGAUAAGUCAGGUUAAGGGGCUAGAGAGAGACUGGAAGGCUGGGGAGGCUAUUUGAAACAAAUGGGCAGAGGAGCUCUCUCUGAGGAAGUGACUUUAGGGCUGAGUCUUGAAAUAUCUGAAGCAGCAACCAUGCAGAUUUCUGGGAUAAGCCAGUUCCAGAUAGAGAAAAUAGCACUGAAGUGGGAAUAAGCAUGACAUAUCCUGUGAAGAGCAAGAAGGUCAGCGUGGCCAGGGCACAAUACCAGAGGAAGCAGGGGGAGGAGGCCAGCCCUGCGGAAGCCGUGGGACAGUACUUGGCUUUUAUUCUAAAUACACUGGAAAGAUUUUCGAGGACUCUUGCUUGUUUGUUGAGGGAACUGGCUGAAAACCCAGUAGAUUUUGGUGGCUGUUCUUGACUAAGAAGAGUGUGGAGCAAAGCCACAGAGCCAUGGCCCCAGACAAGACCUGGAUGAAGUGCUACAGCCUAGUGGUGCCAAGACUGGGAGGGAAACAGAACAGCACUAUGAGACAGAAUCCAGAAGCAAGGAGAGGAAGGAAAGGCCUUGGACCCCCUAAGGAGAAGGAGGGUAAACACCCAGGAGCAGGAUUGCUGGGUCAUAUGAAUGCACAUUUUCCCCCUGGAUUGCAAAUAAUCUGAACUAGGGUAAAACCAUUACAAAGUGGCCUUCAAACAUCAUGUCUGUAUUGGAACUGAAUGAUUGAUCAGACAUUUAAAUACGGAAACUGGGAAUUCAGCUGACCAGAAUUUCACCAGGGUGACAUGACAGUUUGUUGCUAAGGAACUGAAGACUGUGUCAUAAGUGAGCAUUCUGAUGAAGAGGAGUGAACAGUUUGCAGCAGAUUGGAUAUUAAGUAUAAAUCAGCUCUCUGUGUAUGUCCCUGUUUGGUGGUAUAACUGACAACAGAUAGGGUUCCUGAUGGGAUUGGGUUCCACCAAUCAGAGCCACUUGCAUGAGACCUCAACUGAGAGCCAGGAUGUCAUCUCCACCAGAACAAGGACUAGGUUUUGUAUGUUGCUGUUCCGUUAGUACCAGAACAUGCCCACCCCUGCUCAGUAAAUAAACGUUAAGUGAAUGAAUUAAAAAGUGAAAGGCUGUGUUUGAAGAGGAGGGGCUCACUCUAAAUCUUGAAGAUGUUCAGCCUCGAAAAAGUAGAAGUCAUUGUGACCAAAGAUGAUGCCACCACACCUUUGAAAAAGAAAGGUGAUGAGCCUCAAAAGGAAAAACACAUUCAAGAAAGGUCAAUGCUAAUGAGUAUGAAUGAACACAUAGCAAAAACUUCAGAUACAACAGCCAUGCCAAGGGCUGGUGGGACAGGUGAGGCUGAGUGAAUAAAAAGAAGUAGCCCCAGAGACACUCAAGGUGGUUCCAGCUGCUUUGAAGGAGGUUUCUUUCUAAGAGGUGGCUGGGCUUGGUUUCAGUGUAUUCCAAUUUGGGACUCAUGAAUUGCAACUGAUAAAGAUCAAAAAACUGAUACAGAAAUUGUUUU
rnacentral:antisense_RNA from 1 species